UGGGACCUGACUAGCUGCUUCAAGCCCCAGUGCACACGAUGGUACUUGUAAAAUCUUCAGCUGGAGUCACAUCUCUUGUUCCUUCUACACAACCGCACUUUACAUUUGGGCACGAAGUAGACUUGGAACGUGGUACCUGGAACAGGAUGCUUGAUUCCAUGGCUUAGCAUGAAUCUAUCAUCGACU